GGCGCCGAGCUGGGAGCGCAGCGGACUCCCGGAAAGCAGCGGCAGCGGCGGGAAGGGGCUCCAAGGAGCAAAGAAUGGCGGCGAGGCGCUGCCGGGAGCAGCAGAAGGCAGCGAGGAGAAGCCGUGAAGCUGCAGAGCGGCGGAGUUGUCUUUUUUCCUUCGCAGGCUGGAAUCUUCCUUCCGCCUUGCUGUGCUGUGGGGAGCAGCUGGAGGCGAUUCUCUUGCAUGAGCGAGGGGUGCAGCCUGGUUCCACCCGGCCCUGAGCUCACGGAAGGGCUGGCUGCCCGCAGGGAAGGAGCUCUGCUUGAGGUCUGCUCCUGGGUGGGCUUUUGUGUGCCCUGUUCCUCAGGAAGGGGUAAGCAGUGCUGGGGUUAUUUGCUAGAUGGAGUGCGUUUGUGUUUCUUGGCUUCCUGAAAGCUGUGUCUGUCUUUUUCACUGCCGGCUGGAGAGACUCGGGGGAGAAAGCGUUGUGCUUGAUGGCACGGUUUCCUUGGGCAAAGGAUGCUUUGGCAGCAGAGGUUUGCUGUCAGGAGGCAUGAAAGCACUGAAGCCAAUGCUGCCGUGCCCUGGGCCCAGAGACAUCAGCUCCCAGCACGUCCCUGGCGGUGGAUGUGUGCAAGCUCUGUGUCUGCCAGUGGUUGCUGCAAAGGCUUUGUGGUCAGCUGUGCGUGGCUGUUUUGCUCUUGAGGGCGUGGGAACAGAGGGCAACACGCUGAUGGGAGUGAUGGUGUCCUGCUCAGCAAAGGAUGUGCUGGGUGGCAGAAGAGGAUUCUUGGCCGAGCGUGGAAAAUCUCUCUGCUCCUUCCUGAAGGACGCAAUCUUCCACUUGGAAAGGGCCUCCCAAGGAUCCCUGGUAUCCUCUGAGAGCUCUGAGCUGCCGCACCAAUUUGAAGCUGACUUCAUUUUUGGUCUUCCCCUUCAGCAGAAAAGCUCAGACAGCCGAGCCAAGCGAGACGCUGGAUUUCCUUUGGCAUCAAGGAAAGCAUCGUGAGAUGUUCUGAUGCCCUCUCACAAUUCUUUCUCCCUCCGCCAGCACCAGAGCUGGCGUCCAAAGACGCAAUGACACUGCCACAGGCAUUGUGGAGAUUUGUAUGGGAUAGGCCCAUGGUAAGGCUUUAUUGACAGAGGGAGGGACAAUGAAGAUUGGAUGUCAGGGAGAAGGUCUUUCCAGAGACGGUGGUGAGAUGCUGGAAGCGGAUGCCCAGAGAGCUUGUGGACGCCGCGUCCGUGGCAGUGUUGAAGGCCAGGUUGGAUUGGGCACUCGGCAGCCUAGUCUAGGAUUAGAUAUGAUGCAGAUGGGAUUCAAGCAUCUGUUUUGCAGCCAGCUCGAGUGGAGCUCUUGGAGCUCGUGGGCGCCCCAUGCCCGCAUCAGCGUGGGUAGUGUGUGCCCUUCCUGCGCGGUGGGGCUUUGCUGUUUGGAGGCUGACGCUGAGGAGACUGUGUUUCUUCGUUUAUCGGUGGCAGCAAUCCAGCUCUGUCAGCAGAGGACUCCUGCGGCUGGCUGGCCUCAGCCUGAGAUGUUGAUGCUUCCAUCUCCUCAGGUUCUUUCUGCCUGCUCUUCUUAGCCCUGCGCCUGAGAAGUCUGACUGAGUCGCAUGCCAGAAGUGGAAGCCGGGAUGGAGUGCCUUGCGAUGCCUGCGACGGGCUGGACUGAGCCCUUGAGGAAGGUCUGGAAUCGUUGCUGAAAGAUUCGUUGGCUUUGGGCAACUUCAGCACCGCAGCCACACGAUGGGCUUUUUCCGCUUCCCGUUCUUCCUCACGGAAGCUCACGUGUUUGGUUCCCGGGGCUCGGCCCAGGUCUUCUUGGCUGUCUGUUUCUGCCUGGCCCUGCAGCUGGCAGGUCAGCGGCUGCUUUUGGUCUUCAGGCACUCCAGGGAUGGCUGGCAGCAGACUGAAAGGACAGAGCAGGAGGGGUCCGCCUGAGUGGGUGAUGGUUUUGGGGCCGCGUCCUGCAAGCCGGAGCCAGGACCCUUGGCUGCAACGCAGCCUUCCCCACAGACAGCUCACCGGCUGCCCCGUGGCUCUCCCCCGUGGGAUCCAGAGAGGGGCCAGCCCUGUGAGCUGGGGGGCUCCUGGCGUCCCCAUCCCAGCACUGUUGGGCAGCCAGAAACAGGGACCCUUUGGGGCUAGGGAAUGGGCUCUCAUUGGCUCAGUCAAUCACCCCCAUGCACAUGCCAAGCCAGAGCCUCCAGCCUCACCUGGACGUAGAGCUCUCCUUGCGCAGUAAGCUCCUUAUCCUUCGGAGUUUUCCUCCAUCUAGACUGUCCGAGCUCAAGCGUUUGAUGAAGGUUGGCUUGCCAGCAAAUCUCACUGGGAUUGGGAAGGCAGAGGAGACUUACCGUCAACCCUUUGGCUCACUCACCAGGGGCGCUCAGGCCUGUUCCCAGAACAUGCGAGAGGGCCGCUCUGCUCCCCCCACUGCUGACAUCUGUGCCGCCCGCGGACCCUCCCUGAAACCAUCUCUGGCCCCACUUCUCCUCUCUGCCAUCUUGGGACUCUCUUUUGGGAGUGCAUUAGUGACGGUGGCUUUGGGAAAGCGGAGCUGGGUGGUGACGAUGAGCUGACAGGGUGACUUUUGGGGACCAUAUCCUUUUGUUGGGGGAGGGCGGGGCCUAAGGUGCCGAGGUGCUCCUGCCAUAGCCAGGGAUGGGGGCACGUCACAGCCAGCGCCUUGGUUUUGGAGAGGCCAACAAUUCCUCGUGGGAAGAGGCCGUGCUGAGCUGGCGUGAAGCUUUGACGGAUGCCUCCUGAGGACCUGCGGGAUAUCCCAGGUGGUGGUUUGGGUACAAACUCCAUUUGAAACCUGUACGCGAGGAGACGACAGUGAGCGGUGGGACGCAGCGCUCCACCAAUCCUUGUUGCUCUCUCUGAUUGCCUGCUGACAGGCCCAUUUUCAUGCUGCAUGAUGGCCACUGCUUUCUAAAGGCUUCAGCAGGGCCAGGCUGAGAGCAACCUGAUGUGGCGCUUCUCAAGGAAGUCGUAAUAGAAUUUCAUGUGGAAGGUCAGUCCAUCGAUGUGGAGCACUCCAAUGUCCUUGAAGACAACGGCAACGUUCUCCCCAUUCUUCAGGCAGCCAGAGAGCAGGGACACGGUGCUUUGGAUGCAAGCCUGCGCUGUCUGCCAGGUCACAGAGGCAGCUGCGGCCACCUCGCUGCUCUUGAGCGGCUCCAGCUUCCUAUGGGCUGAAAAAUGGGAGGGACGGAGUUGAUGAUACGGGACUCCCUGCGGGGCUUGAGGUGGUGCACGGCUAUGAGGUUUCCAGACAAGUGAAAGACGGGCCACCGCAGAGUCACGGUCCCGUCCUCAGUCCUGAUGUCUCUGGAGAUGGUGUCAAAGGAUCCGAAGGUGGGAAUCCAGACCCCCUACAAGUGGUAGAGAAAGGAAGGGCGGCAGGGUUAUGGGCCGGCUGGCUGGAGGAAGAGCCCAUGUAGCGGUCCAAGGCAGGGACGGAGCUCAGGAGCCCUCUCUCGCUGUUCAGAGGCACAAGCCAGGGCAUCGGGAAUGGCUUUGGGAAGGGGCUGCACAGUCCUCUCCUUCCCCUCACCCUCCCAAAUGCAGCACAGCAGUCAGGGCAGAAGCAGCCUGAUGGGAUCCAGAGGCUUCCCGCGAGCGGGAUCAGCCCUGAGACAGGACAGCGCCCAGCACAAGUGAUCCUGCGGGAUUUGCAGGAAGCCCAUGGCAUGCCCAGUAGAGACACGUGGGGAGGUGCUCUUGUACGUAGGCGGCCACCGCAUCCCAGACGGCAACUCGCUCUGGAGGGCAAAGGAAAAGCAGGUCACACUCUGCACCUGCCGCUUCCCGGCAGCCCUCCCGCUGCCAGGCGGGAGUGAGGUGGCAGAUGGAA